rnacentral:rRNA from 1 species
GUGAGGAAUAUUGCGCAAUGGAGGCAACUCUGACGCAGCCAUGCCGCGUGCAGGAAGAAGGCGCUACGCGUUGUAAACUGCUUUUAACCGGGAAGAAACCCCAGGACGUGUCCUGGGUUGACGGUACCGGAGGAAUAAGCACCGGCUAACUUCGUGCCAGCAGCCGCGGUAAUACGAAGGGUGCAAGCGUUAUCCGGAUUCAUUGGGUUUACAGGGUGCGUAGGCGGAGCGUUAAGUCAGUGGUGAAAUCCUGCAGCUUAACUGUAGACUUGCCAUUAAUACUGGCGCUCUUGAGUGCGCUUGAAGUGGGCGGAAUGUGCCGUGUAGCGGUGAAAUGCUUAGAUAUGGCACAGAACACCAAUUGCGAAGGCAGCUCACUAAGGCGAUACUGACGCUGAGGCACGAAAGCGUGGGGAUCGAACAGGAUUAGAAACCCGAGUAGUCC